rnacentral:rRNA from 1 species
UACAGAGGUGGCAAGCGUUGUUCGGAAUUACUGGGCGUAAAGGGCGAGUAGGCGGCCUUCUAAGUCAGACGUGAAAUCCCCCGGCUUAACCUGGGAACUGCGUCUGAUACUGGGAGGCUUGAGUAUGGGAGAGGGAUGUAGAAUUCCAGGUGUAGCGGUGAAAUGCGUAGAUAUCUGGAGGAAUACCGGUGGCGAAGGCGGCAUCCUGGACCAUUACUGACGCUGAAUCGCGAAAGCUAGGGGAGCAAACGGG